GGAGGGGGCAAGCGUUAUUCGGAAUCAUUGGGCGUAAAGCGUGCGUAGGCGGCCCGACAAGUCCGGCGUGAAAUCUCCACUGCUCAACAGGGAGAGGCCGCCGGAAACUGUCAGGCUUGAGGACCGGAGAGGUCGGCGGAAUUCCCGGUGUAGCGGUGGAAUGCGUAGAUAUCGGGAAGAACACCAGUGGCGAAGGCGGCCGGCUGGACGGUUUCUGACGCUGAGGCACGAAAGUGUGGGGAGCGAACGGGAUUAGAUACCCCGGUAGUCCACACUGUAAACGUUGGACACUAGGUGUUGGGGGCAUCGACCCCCCCCCCCAGUGCCGCAGUUAACGCACUAAGUGUCCCGCCUGGGGAGUACGGUCGCAAGGCUG
rnacentral:rRNA from 1 species